AACGAACGCUGGCGGCAUGCCUAACACAUGCAAGUCGAACGAGACCUUCGGGUCUAGUGGCGCACGGGUGCGUAACGCGUGGGAACCUGCCCUUAGGUUCGGAAUAACUCCCCGAAAGGGGUGCUAAUACCGGAUAAUUUCUUCGGACCAAAGAUUUAUCGCCUUUGGAUGGGCCCGCGUUGGAUUAGCUAGUUGGUAGGGUAAAAGCCUACCAAGGCGACGAUCCAUAGCUGGUCUGAGAGGAUGAUCAGCCACACUGGGACUGAGACACGGCCCAGACUCCUACGGGAAGCAGCAGUGGGGAAUAUUGGACAAUGGGCGAAAGCCUGAUCCAGCAAUGCCGCGUGAGUGAUGAAGGCCUUAGGGUUGUAAAGCUCUUUUACCCGGGAUGAUAAUGACAGUACCGGGAGAAUAAGCUCCGGCUAACUCCGUG
rnacentral:rRNA from 1 species